GGUAGCUCAGUGGUAGAGCGCUUGCCUUCCAUGCGUGAGGCCCUGGGUUCGAUUCCUCAGUACCA
rnacentral:tRNA from 1 species